UGUAUCAAAAGCCAAGCCGUAUUUUCAAAUUUCGCCUACCGUUGAAACUAUAAAUUUGUAAAGGGGCACGAAGCAGUCAUAAGUUUUCAAUAAGUAAUAACUGCUGAAGUGAGCGCGGGAUGUCUUCAGCAUUCUUAUAAAUAGCCAAGAGGCAGUCUAUCAAUGUAAAUCUUUGAAGAUUAUAUUGGGGACAGUCAAAGAAAAUGUGAUGAAGAGUUUGGAUGGAUAAAUUACAGAAUUGACAAGUUGGAGAAUCUAAAACACCGAUCCUAAAUAAAUGAGCACCACUACGAGAAUGUCCCAGACGUAACCGACAAAUUGUGGUGUAAAAUUUUCUGUGGAGAUUUAAGGAUAGAAGAAUGGAUGAUAAUUUGUUCUAAAUCAACAUUAUUAAAUGGUCCUACAACAUCCAAAAAAACACCAGCCAAUAUCUUAUUGUCGAUCUGGGCACUAUGGAUGUCAAGACAUAAAUGCCAUAGACUCUCACAAGCAGAAUGACCACAUCAAAAUCCAAAUUGAUUAUAAGAUAACUGUGUGAAUUGAAGAAGAUUCAGUUUCCGACACUACCAUGGAAAAUUUUGUGAUUGUAGGCAAGUGAUAGCUGCCCAAAGAGUCCUGAUGAAAUUGCCAUUCACAGCACAGGAAUAAUGAAGAUGAUACUAUUGUUAGAUCUAGUCCAUUUGGUCUCCAAGAAUUAGUACCCACUGUAAUUGGUUGAUCAUUAUUUAAGAGCAUUAAGUCAUUAUUGUCCAUUACAUCCAUGAUGUCGCUACCUCUAGAAUUGGUUCUAUUACAACCCCAAAUGGUAUGGUGAGCAUUAAAAUCACCAGCAAUUAUUAGUGGUUUUGGAAUACUAUGCAACAGUCUAUUAAAUUUGCUAAAAAGCUAACAAUUGAGAUGUCUUUUUGUUUGUAUUUAAUUUUGAUUGCUACAUUUUGCAAGGAGUUAUCAGAAAAUGUUUCUAACUUUUGAAAAUAAAUGCCAUUUCUAACAAAAAUUGCUACACCAUUGUGAUCAUUACCGCAAUCAUUUCUUAUUAUUUAUUUUAUUUUGGCAUCAAACAGUCACAAAAUUACAAUUUUAAUGUUAGAUAAUUACUAAAAAGAAGACUUAUAGUGCCGAAAAUUAUAAUGUUAAAUUAAAUACCUAGAGGUAAACAUAAACAUAUAAAGUUAACAUUUACAACAAAUGUGUACAAUACAAUAACUUAACUAUAAUUUAUUAAUUAACUAACAAUAACUAUAUUUCAUUCUCUAUUCGUAACAAGAUUACAUAAGUUUGAGAAUUAAUUUCUUUCUAAAUUCUUUAUAAGGUAACCCAAAAACAUCCAUAUCAGAGAAAUCUUUAUUAUAGGAGUUAAGUGUUCGUGGUGUAAAGCUAUUCAAAGUAUAAUUUUUUGUGUAGCGUGGUGGAACAAAGAUAUUUAAUUUACGACAGGAGCGGAUGGGAAGUUCGGCGCGUGAUGUAAAUGAUAUUCUUGAAAGUAGAUAAGGACAGUCAAUCUUAUUAUUUAGAAUUUUAUGGAUAAAUAUAAUAUCGAUGAAUUUACGACGAUUAACUAAGCUAAGAAUAUUGUACUUUUCAAGUGAGUCUGCAUAAGAAGGAGUUGUAUUAUUGGAGUGAUAGUUUAAAGUGUUUAUAAUUUUCUUUUGCACUUUUUCUAUUCUAUUUUCAUGGAACUUAUAGUUAGGAUUCCAUACACUACAACCAAACUCCAGAAGUGGUCUUACAAACGAAAAAUAAAGUAUUAAUUGUGUUUGAGGUUUUUUAAAUGGUUUGCAGACUCUGUUUAUAAGACCUAAGUUACGGAAAGCUCUCUGCACAAUUGUAUCUAUAUGAUGAUUAAAAGUGAGUUUAUGAUCCAUCAGUAUGCCUAAGUCUCUUACCGUAUCUACGCGUUUUAAAUUGUAAUCAUGUAACCUAUAGUCAAAUGUUAUUUUUCUUUUAUUGUUGCGAGUGUAAUCUCAAUAACGGAGCAUUUAUCUAUAUUGAUAAAUAGUUGGUUUUUUGUACAAUAAUCUGACAACGAAUCGAUAUCCAACUGUAAUUUUUUACAGUCAUCUAUGGUUUCAAUAAUACGAAAAAUUUUUGUGUCAUCGGCAUAUUGCAAAAACAUUGAAUUUUUGAAGGUUGAUCCUAUAUUGUUAAUAUAUAAUAAUAAUAAUAAGCCUUUUAUUUCAUCAAAAAGUAAGAUACAUACAUAGUUACAUAACAAAAAAAUAAAAAUAAAAGAAAGUUUGUGAUGAUAUUUACAAGUAUUUGUUUAGGUCUAGAUAAUAAUAUAUAAGUUUGUUUGCAUGAACCCCUCUUCAAGUGAAGGUGAAGGCCUCCUCUAAAGAAUACCAUGUGUCUCUUGAGCUAUGUGCAACCAGGGGUAUACAUAAAGUUCUGAUGCUGAUCUUUCUUCUUUUAAGUUAUUUAUUUCUUGGGUUUUUAAUUCAUUUCUUGUUAUUGAAGAUGUUGGAGUUUUUUUUUCUUUUUUAGAAUAGGAGGACAAACGAGCGUACGGGUCACCUGGUGUUAAGUGAUCGCCGCCGCACACAUUCUCUUGCAACACCAGAGGAAUUACAAGAGUAUUGCCGGCCUUUGUUAUUUGCUGUUUGGAGAUGUCUUCUUUAGAGGGUUUUGGGUCUUGAUUUUCCACGGUGACCAGCCGGAUUGGAAGAUGGUUUUCGUUGCUUAGUUGAUGAAUUGAUUUAAUUUUGCAUUGUUGAUGGAGGGGGGGAGUUGGUUGCUAUGAAUGUAGGCUAUUGGUUGUAUUGUCCUUGGUUUGGUUAUGUGGAGUGUUGACAUUUUUGUUUACUAAGUAGUUUCGAAUGCUUGGUUUUAGACCUCCUUCUGAGACACUGUUUGAUCUGGGUAAAGAUGGGUUUAUUUGUUUUAUUUUGUUUUUCUUGAUGGGUCUAGUUGUAAUAUUACCAACUAGUGCUUGAGAAUUGGGAUCUGACUCUGGUGAAGUCGUCAGUGUUCUUUUGUUGUUUGGUUUUAAUAUAACAAGUUUAUCGUAUCUUAUCGUAACUUUAUUUCCUUUCUCGCGCUCUCUAUUUGCUUCUUCCUGUAUUUCUUUCCUUUUUUCUAUUUUUAUUUUUGUAUUUAGGGUAAUCUUCGUUCAAGUAAUAUUGGGUGUCUUUUAAUAAUUUUUUUUGCUUAAGAAUGUUGAUCUUUGAACCUAGGGUAGAAAAGGUUACAAUUAUUGGUCGUGGCUUAUCACCUUUUUCCCCACUCUCUUUAUUUCUUGAAUAUCUCUACAAUGCAAUUUUAAGAACAAUUUUUCACUUAUGAAUUGCAAUAUAUUGUUCUCCAAGUUAUGAUAUGAUGUCUCACUCUCUUCAAUACCGAAGAAAAUUAUGUUUCUUCGUCUUAUUUGUUUUUCCAUAAAUUAAAUUCUUUUUUCUUGUUGUUCAACAUUUUCUUUCAAGGUUUGAUGUUUUUCUUCCAAUAUGGUGAAUUUCUCUUCUUAUUUGUUGGUUAUGUUAAGUGUUACUUGUUCUGUGACCCUUUCGCCACUUUUCUGAAUUUCUAUUUUUUGUAGGUUCAGUUCUUUUUGAAUAUUUAGUAAGGCUUUCAUAAUUUCCUCCAUAGUGUCUAUUUGUUUUGGUACUGGAUGCGCCCUCUAGUUUAGAUUCCAGAUCUAAACUAGAGACGUAUUGGUAUUGUGCGUAAGUCGAAUCUAGUGUGCUCCUUUUCUAAUAGAUGGCGCUGUUUCACAGUUUAUUUUACUUUGACAGGCGAAAUUGCACUCAUUCGUGUGUGAGGUUAGGUUUUUUCAAUAAAGGGGUAGCUGCCAAGAUUUUCCAUUUAUUUCGUUUAUUUACACUCCAGCACUUUCAUAGUGUAGACUGAUACAGUUUAAGUUCUUAGAUUCGCGAGAAAAGAUUUGAAAAGUUCGUAAAUUGUUGUAUGUUUACACUUCAGUUUUUUUAGGUUUUUUUUUUGUAUUAUUCGCUAUCGUAGGACAUUAUCUUCACUAUAUAGGCAUAUUCACUAGUUUAUUUUCACAUGUACAAUUUUGUUUUCACUAAAUUCACUUAAAUUAUAUUUUUAAAUAGUUUUUUAUACGGACUAUGUUGUUACCGCGUCUCAGUACUCCCCACUCCUCAUUUAUUACAUAUUGUUAAUAUAUAAUGAGAAUAAUAAAGGUCCCAAGUGGGAUCCCUGUGGGAUUCCCGAGGGAAUUACCAGGAAUCCAGAGACAACCUUUGACACAAACAGCUUGACUACGAUUCCGGAUGUAGGAGUCUAUCCAUCGUAGGAGACUCCCGUGAACACCAAUCUCUGAAAGUUUCGUAAUAAGGAGAUCAUGAUUUAUCCGGUCAAAGGCUUUGGAGAAGUCGGUGUAAAUAACGUCCACCUGAAGACCUUUAUCCAUAUGGUGGAGUAAAUAGUCCGUAAAAGUAAGCAUGUUAGUAUUUACACUUCUUGCCUUCCUAAAACCAUGCUGGCUAUCUGAGAUAUGGUGUUUCAUUGAUUCAUAUAACUUUUCAGUAACUAUUUAUUCACAAAUUUUACCAAGCAAGCAUAGUUUUGAUAUAGGUCUGUAUUCUGAAAUAAAAUCAUGUUUCGAACUUUUGGGUUGGUAAUUAGUGCUUUUUUCCAGACCUGAGGGAACACACCAGUUUCCAUUGACACUUGAAAUAAAUAUGUAACGGGCUCUGUUAAUUCUUUAGCGCACGAAGAAAUUAAGAAUGGGUGAAUGCCGUCUCCUCCAGCCCCUUUGUGUAUAUUUACAGUUGUUAAUUGUUGGAAAACAAUGUUUUGGCUAUAAUUUAUAAAGUUUAUUUAACAGGGUAACUUACAUUAUUAAAGGCAGUUGGAGUAUUACUAAUUGGCGCGUUGUUUGAGGGAAUAAACACGCUGUGAAAGUAAUUAUUAAAAUAUGAACAAAUUUGUUCUCCACCCGAUAUAAUUUCACCCUGGUAAUUCAAUUUGUCUGGUAUACUACCUCUCGACAUUUUUGACUGAACAAAUGACCAGAAAUAUUUUGGAUAAUUAUUAAUUUUGUUUUCUGCAAACUCCAAGUAUGAGUGAUAACAUAUUUUCUCUAAACUUUUAAAUCUAGUUCUAAGAAGAGCGAAAGUGUUAUAAUCACUGCGGUUACCGUAAGUUUUCCAUUUUUUGUGGAAUUUUCGUUUUUCUCGCUCCAAUUUAAUUAGUGAAUUAGUAACCCACGGAGGACGUUUUGUAUUAUUCGACGACAGUCGCGUAGGUACAUACUUGUCUAUGAGACUGUUUAAAAUUUUGUAAAAACUAUCGAUCAUGUCGUCUACAUUAUUCAUAGGCGUAAAUAAAUCGACCCAAUCGAUUUUUGUUAGUUCUCGUUUAAUUGAUUCCAUAUCGGAUUUAAAAAUAACUUAUUUUUGAAAAUCUUACCUUGGAAGGGAGUUGGAUAUAGAACUUGUAAGUCAAUAUCCAGCGAUUUGUGAUGUAAAUCUUCUGGCGUAAGUGGAUUGUCACAAGAUGUUACGUUACAGUUUACAUUACUAAAUACUAAGUCGAGAAGUCUUUGGUUAUUAUUAUACUCCGAAUUAUAUUGAUUUAGCGAAGAAUACAUCAUAAAAUCCGCCGUCAAGCAUGCUAAGUUAUUGUUAUUUGUAAUGAUGUUCAUACUAUUAAGCUCACUGUUAUAAUACCAGUCAGCCGCAGUGACAUUGAAAUCGCCAAGUACAAUAAAUAAAUCGUUAGUGUGUAAUGUGUGAAGGUUAUAAUAUUAUCAUAAAGACAGGUCAAAUUAGUUUCGUGUCGAUCACUGUGAGGUACGUACGCGCAUAUAACGUGAAGCGCGGAGGCAGCGCCCGGUGAUCGCGGUGGCAGCGACAAAGUUACCCAUACAGCGUCAGCUGGUGGAGGUGCGCUGAACUCGGCCCGGAGCUGUGCACACAGCUCCCGCCGAAUUGCAAUCAUUACGCCUCCGCCUCGUCGGCUUCCAUUAGUAGAUGCGCUUGCACUCGCGAUUUGUUCACGGUCACGUCUAAACACUAUGUAGCGAUCGUCGAUAAAUUCAUUGUUAUUAAAAUUAGAGUUAAGCCAAGUUUCAGUUAAACAUAUAAUAUCAUUAUUACAAUUCAGAACACAUGACAAGAAAUUAUGAGAUUUUGUUCGCAGGCUGACGUUUUGAUAGUAAAUUGAUAGAUUACUGUUAAAUGACAUUAUUACAUAAAUUAAGUUUACUUAAAGAUCUAUUAAUAUUUUGUUCCACCCAUUUUACACAACCUAUUGCAUAUUUUGUAACUUUGAAUUUUUUGUAAUAAGAUAAAUAACUAAUAUGUGUACUAUUAUUAUCGAAGGCCAUUAUAAAUAAAUAGCUGAAUUUAAUGAAAUUUCUACGCAAUUUUAUUAGUAUUACAUGCCGAUUUGAUAACUUUGUUUCUCCUAUGUAUGCUUUGGGGUUCAUAAUGUACAAUAUGGUUAACAAACUAUACCUAUAUAAAAAUAUUAUAAGAAGAUAGAUUAAUGGGAGUUUUAUGUGAUGAAAAUCUUAUAAAAAGUCAUUUAAU